GAAGUCACCUGCCUCACUGGUAUUCUCAGCCAUAUAAUAGAGAGUUUUGGUAGAGCUAUUUAAGGUGCUCCAGCUACAAAUGCAUUUUUUCAUCAUUUGUCAUCCACAAAACAGUGACCAGACAGAACACAUCCAGAAGAUAUUUGAAAGACACCUUCAGAGCCCUCUCCCCAGAAGUAGAGUGGUGAAAAAUGACAGACGGUGAUGGAGUAAGAAAAUCUCACCCUGCAGCACUUACAUUAUGACCUUAUAAUAUUUUGGUUUGUGUUUAAUUAUCUUCUUAUGCCAAUAAUCUUAUGCAUCUUAUGUUAUUUCAGAUAAUAAACUUAGACAAAAGAA